rnacentral:rRNA from 1 species
GACGAACGCUGGCGGCGUGCUUAACACAUGCAAGUCGAACGGAAAGGCCCUGCUUUUGUGGGGUGCUCGAGUGGCGAACGGGUGAGUAACACGUGAGUAACCUGCCCCUGACUUUGGGAUAACUUCAGGAAACUGGGGCUAAUACCGGAUAGGAGCUCCUGCUGCAUGGUGGGGGUUGGAAAGUUUCGGCGGUUGGGGAUGGACUCGCGGCUUAUCAGCUUGUUGGUGGGGUAGUGGCUUACCAAGGCUUUGACGGGUAGCCGGCCUGAGAGGGUGACCGGCCACAUUGGGACUGAGGUACGGCCCAGACGCCUACGGGAGGCAGCAGUGGGGAAUAUUGCACAAUGGGCGGAAGCCUGAUGCAGCAACGCCGCGUGCGGGAUGACGGCCUUCGGGUUGUAAACCGCUUUCGCCUGUGACGAAGCGUGAGUGACGGUAAUGGGUAAAGAAGCACCGGCUAACUACGUG